ensembl:lncRNA
GGAAGAUUAACCCUGAGCUAACAUCUGCCACCAAUCCUCCUCUUUUUGCUGAGGAAGAUUGGCCAUGUGCUAACAUCUGUACCCAUCCUCCUCUACUUUAUAUGUGGGACACCUGCCACAGCAUGGCUUGGUAAUCGGUGUGUAGGUCCACACCUGGGAUCCGAACCAACAAACCCAAGGUCACUGAAGCAGAGCGUGCGAAUUUAACUGCUACUCCACCAGACUGGCCCCCCAAAAUAUAUUUUUUUUAGACUUUAGGAAAUCUAUUUCUGUAAUUGAUAAGAAAAACAGUGAAACCUUUAAAGCCCUCAAAGGUCAUGUAGAUGCAGUUACUUUUGUAAGCAUCCUUUGUUGAAAGAGGCCCAGAAGAAGUUGAGAAGAUGGAGAGAUGCAGCAAGGUGGGAGUGCAGAGAGUGUGGAGAAGGUGAAUUAAGCAGGGAUGAUAAAAACCAAAUAACUACAAAAGCCUUCUGUAAGAGAGGCAUCCGAAUUGACAGGUGCCAUUACCAUAAGCAUUAAAAUUUUGGAAUGAAGCAAAGAAAAACGGGAAGAUGGGUUUGACAAAGUGAGAAAGGAUAUCUCACGGUGAAUGUCACUCAUCUGACCUUGGCUUAGCUUCUUUUUUUUUUAUUGCAGUAACAUUGGAUUAUAACAUUACAUAACUUUCAGGUGUACAUCGUAAUAUAUUUCAAAUUCUGUGUAGAUUACAUCAUGUUCACCACCCAAAGACUAAUUACAAUCCAUCACCACACACAUGCCUAGUCAUGCCUUUUGCCCUUUCCUUUCCUCCCUUCCCCUAUAGUAAACACCAAUCCAAUCUGUUGCUAUGUGUUUGUUUGUCGUUGUUUUUAAUCUUCUACUUAUGAGUGAGAUCAUAUGGUUUUUUACUUUCUCCCUCUGACUUAGUUCACUUAGCAUAACACCCUCAAGGUCCAUCCAUGUUGUCACAAAUGGCUGGAUUUCAUCACUUCUUAUGGCUGAGUAGUAAUCCUUUAUGUAUAUAUACCUCAUCUUCUCUAUCCAUUCGUCCCUUGAUGGGCACCUAGGUUGCUUCCAAGUUUGACUAUUGUGAAUAAUGCUACAGUAAACAUAGAAGUGCGUGUAUCUUUAUGCCUUUAUGUUUUCAAGUUCUUUGGAUAAAUACCCAGCAGUGGAAUAGCUGGAUCAUAUGGUAGAUCUAUUCUUAAUUUUCUGAGGAUACUCCGUACUGCUUUCCAUAGUGAUUGCAGCAGUUUGCACUCCCACCAGCAGUGUACCAGGGUUCCCUUCUGUCCACAUCCUCUUCAACACUUGUUUCCCGUCUUGUUAAUCAUAGCCAUUCUAACUGGAGUGAGGUGAUAUCUCAUUGUAGUUUUGAUUUGCAUUCCCCUGAUAGCUAAUGAAGUUGAACAUCUUUUCAUGUGCCCUUUGGCCAUCCGUAUAUCUUCUUUGGAGAAAUCUCUGUUCAGAUCUUUUGCUCAUUUUUAAUUGGGUUGUUGGUUUUUUGUUGUUGAGACAUAUGAGUUCUUUGUAUAUUUUCGAUAUUAACCCCUUAUCUGAUGUAUGGUUUGCAAAUGUCUUCUUCCAAGUGUUAGGUUGUCUUUUUGUUUUGUUGAUGGUUUCUUGGCUUAGCUUCUUAAUGUAUUUAUUAUUGCUGAUGCCUCUACUUGGGUAGGAGAACUUGGUUGAAAGGACAGCUGUGUUGAAAGGACAGAUCCGUUACUCAGGAGAGAAAACUGCUUACAUAGCCACCUCAGUGCAUCCUUCGUGAUCCAUCAUUCUUCAGCAAACCAAGGUCAAUUAAUAAAUGGUUCAUCCAGGCUAAUUGUGCAAUGAGUGAACCAGACAAGGAUGUGAUGGUUAUUUCCCUGCCCCACCCCUCCAGGGGGCUGCCCCUGACUUAGCCAGAUGCUCACUCAGAACUUUUGGCUGUUCAUAAUGAGACUCCAAGAAUUUGGAAUGGUUCCAGAUGGGUCACAGGUGUCUGCAGAAGGUUGACUACACUGAAGGGGAUAUCAAGCCUCCGACUGGCCAUCAGUUUUCUGCUGGAUGCUGUGGCAGACAAUAUGGUGGGAACCACAGUGGCUGUAUUGCAACCACGAGAAGAACCUGAAGAUGGAAGCCCCUGUUAAGGAAGUGGAGCAGAAAGAUUGGGCCGCAGUAGACCAGGGCAUCAAGAAUAUUUUUAGAGAUGAGAGAUACCAGAGUAUGUUUGCAUAUUGGGAUGAGCCAUUAAGAAGAAGAGAUUGACGAGGAAGAGCCAGGGGGAUCACGACAGGACUGCAGCCCUGGAGAAGCUAAGUAUGGAGAAAUCCUGGGUGUCUGUUGACAAACUGGCCUUUGAUAGGCUGCUGCAGAUGGUUUAGGACACUUGCCAAUGCCCUUUUCUGAGGAAAAUUCCUCCAACAGCUCUGACAUUUCAUUGCCCUUUUCAUCCCUUUGUCCUUUUCUCCAUGGACUGGAGUCUCCUGUCUCUUCCUUCCCAAAUUCAUUCCCUGCACGGCUGCCAGAGUGAGCAUUCCAAAAUGCAAAUCUGAUUUUAAAAGACCGAGUAGCUCCAGUCACCCAAGGGAUGAAGCUACACUCAAUUGCCUUGCAUUCAAGAUGUUCUCUUUCUGGCCUCUCUUUCCAGCUUCCUAUCUUCAACAUUUCAUCAAGCAUUCUGCACACUCACCAUGCCUGGCUAUUGGCAUUUCCCUAAUGGAGCUCUAUCUUUCUUACCUCUAUGCUUUUCUUCCUGCUUCUCCCUUUUCUGAAAUCCUCCUACCUUUCUCUUUCACUAGUAGACUUUCAAGGCACAGCUCAAAUGCUAUGCUUUCUUGAUGCCUCCAGUGAAAAUUAAUUUUCUUUCCUCUCAUUCUUACUACAGCAGCUGUCCCUCCUCCCAUAACCUUGCUCUGCUCUUCAGGCAGGUGAUUCAGCUUUUCCUGUUGGCUGCUCCCUCUGGAUUGUAAACUUGAGGCCGGGGCUGUGACUGAUUCAACUUUGUAGUCUUGCUCCUUUUCACUCAGCUCAAUAAAUAUUUGUUGAAUGAAUGAAUGAUUGCUUCCUGGACCAGGCUUCCUUGUUUACUAAGAGAAAAGCUAUGAACCUCUGCUUUGUUUGCCAGUUCAGCAUCCCUUCCCUCUGUUUCUAGUAACAGCCCUCUUUCCUUGAGAGCCUGCCCAUCUUCCAUU